UAUUACAAGGUAUAUUGAAUCCAACAGUAUUUCCCGACUAGUAUAUCUUCCUGCCGGUCAUUGCUGUUCAAGGGCUGAAAAUAGUCUGCAAUAUCUUCCUCCGCGUAGCCCACCCAUGAGGGUAACAAUAGGUCUGCAGCACAUAGUAACAAAUCUAUUGGAAGGGAAAAAAACUCGCCCCAGAUCCCUCUCCUCUCUCCCAUCUCCCCUCUCCUCUCCCUCACCCAUCUAAAAAAACUCCUCAUCUCCCUCACCCCGACGACGUCGGACUCCCCUCUCCCUCACCCCUCACCCCUCUCCGCUCCCCCCCCCCCCCCCCGACGCCAACCGCAAGCUGCGUUAUUGCUGAAAAUCGAGGAGCUUCUUCCUCCGGAGUGCAGCAAAUCAUAAUCGUCCUCAAUGGUACAUUGGCAUUUGACUGGGUGGCAAUAAUGUACCAAUGGCGUUGGCAUCAUUGGCGUUGUUGGAGGACAACGGUAGCAAAGGGAGGAAAAACAAAAUAGAUCAGACUGGGUGGCAAUAAUGUACCGUCAUCGAACUCAGUGGCAAGCUCAAACUCUAUGGUUGUGUCGUUGGCAUCGAACUACUGGUGGUGGCAAUGGGUGGUGGAAGCCAAGAGGCACAAUCGGGUAGCAAAGGAAAAACAAAAUAGAUCUUUCUAGG